rnacentral:lncRNA from 1 species
CUCAUAAUUUAUUUCCAUGCAUCUUUGCUUUGGAUCCUAGCUUUAUUGGUGAACAUUUAUGCCUUUCUAUAGCAAUCUGGGUUUUCUUAGCCAAUUGAAAUGGGCAUUUAUUAGAUCAUUUAAGCAUCAUAUCAAUAUAGUAUAUUUGGCGACUUUAUGAUAAGUUCUUAUGAUAGAUGUUCAAAACUCUGCUCAGGUGACAUUUUUAUGGAUCCACAUAGUUUUUGUCAUAUAUGAAAAGAAAGCAUUGAGUUGUGCAGAUGGUUAAAUGUGCAUUGAGUUAUUUCUCUGGAAUUUGCAUGAGAAUGGACCGACUUGUAGUUGUAUUAACUUUUCUAGUGCCCAGGUUAGAAAGUUUGAUCUGUGUAGUUUUUAAAGGCAGCAUCCAAAUCACUUAUAUUCAGAAGAAAAUGGUAACAGAUUUAGAAGCUGUCUAUAUUUUCCCCAUUAUCCAUAAUACAUAUUAUUGGCAAUAUGGUUUUCACUCUUUGUUGUUAACGUAUCAACAAUGUGCAAUAGCCACUAAUAAUCAUUUGUUAAUGCAUGCUUCCAAGUUCUGUAUUUGAAAAUCUCAGACUUCAUAUAUGGUAAGUGAUGGAGUAAUUUAUAACUUUUAUGUUGAAUUCUUGCUACUUUAAAAAAUUGUGCUUCUCCUUUUUUAAGGCAUAUGACUUACUUAACAGCUGAUAGUCAGUUACCUGGAUUUUUAGUAUUUUUUUACAUCACAAAAAGAUUUCUCUGAAGUUUGCGCAGGGGUCUAUUUGUAGGCAGUUUCCAACUUACUAAUAAGUAAGGUUCUGAAAGUUAUAAGUUAGCUGUCUGGAAUAGAUAGUCUCAUAGAAACCAGGUUGUAGAUGGUGAUUUGGUUCCUUGGGCAACCUACUGAAACCCAUUUACUAUAUAAUGUGGCUGAAUAAUAUUAUUGAUAGUGCUAUAGUAUUUAGCAACUGUCUGUCAAGUGAUUUUGAACUCUCAUUUUGAAAUCUAACUUUCAUAGCAUUAUUCUGAUGAAUUUUUGGUAGUGCGAUUUGACUUUUUCUACCUCCAUUCUACCAGUUCACAGUGCAUUCUAGCAGUGGAAAUCAAAAAACCUAUUGAGAUGGAAUUUGGGAGGAAAGGAGGACUUACUGAUAUCCCUAGCUGUAGAAAGAAAGUAACUGGGUAUCCUGUCUGAAAGAGGAAGGAUGUGAUGAUCUUCAUGGCUCUGUUGUGGAGAUGUAUGUCUGCUUAUACAUGGCAGGCAACCAAUUGGAGGUUUAUAUAUUUUAAAAAUAAAGAAGGGGCGGCCGGGCGCCGUGGCUCACGCCUGUAAUCCCAACACUUUGGGAGGCCGAGGCGGGCAGAUCACGGGGUCAGGAGAUCGAGACCAUCCUGGCUAACACGGUGAAACCCUGUCUCCACUAAAAAUACAAAAAAUUAGCCGGGCAUGGUAGCGGGCGCCUGUAAUCCCAGCUACUCAGGAGGCGGAGGCAGGAGAAUGGCGCGAACCCGGGAGGCGGAGCUUGCAGUGAGCCGAGAUGGCUCCACUGCACUCCAGCCUGGGCGACACAGCGAGACUCCGUCUCAAAAAAAAAAAAAAAAAAAAAAGAAGGAGCAUUUUAUAAUUUUACACUGAUUAGCCAAAGGAUGGAGAAACCCAAUACUUCUGCUCGUUCAACAUGCCUCACAGUAUAUUCCAAGUAUUUUCAUUGUAUAUCUUCUACUUACUCUACCACCCUAUGCCCCACAAUUUGGACUCUUGGUUUUUAAAUGGUAGUACAGGUAAGAGUAGUUAAGUUUCUAAUACCAGAAUAGUUUUGAAAUAUAUUAUUGUUAUUAUCAUCAUCAUGUAGAGACAGCAUCUCAUUCUGUCACGUGGGCUGAAGUGCAGUGGUGUAAUCAUAGCUUGCACUGCAGCCUUGAACUCCUAGGCUCAAGGGUUUCUUAAGCCUUAGUCUUAAUAUACAGCUUUAUAAGUGUGCAUUACUGUUCACAGCUAACUUUAAAAUUGUUUUUUGUAAAGACAGGAUCUUACUAUGUUGAUCAGACUGGCCUUGAACCCCUGGGUUCAAGGGAUCCUCCUGCCUUGGUCUCCCAG